UCCCUUCUCCUCUCAAACCUACACAAACCAACAGUCCGCACCCAACUCCAGCCAGCCACCGCCUCCAUAUAACCCAACCACCACCGCAGCUACCCAAGCCCGCCCCAUCCCCAACCAACCAAAUUGCCCCGAACAACCUAACUUUUUGGGCCCAGUCAUAUUUCUCUAACCAAAAGCAUAGGCUGUUGGAGUUGGAAGAGUCAAAGGUCCUUGGGUCUAUGACAUCCCUUUCAUCAAAAUCAUAG
rnacentral:lncRNA from 1 species